CCUACGGGAGGCAGCAGUAGGGAAUAUUGGGCAAUGGAGGCAACUCUGACCCAGCCAUGCCGCGUGCAGGAAGAAGGCGUUAUGCGUUGUAAACUGCUUUUAUAUAGGAAGAAAUAGACCUUGCGAGGUAAGUUGACGGUACUAUAUGAAUAAGCACCGGCUAACUCCGUGCCAGCAGCCGCGGUAAUACGGAGGGUGCAAGCGUUGUCCGGAUUUAUUGGGUUUAAAGGGUGCGUAGGCGGUUUAUUAAGUCAGUGGUGAAAGACGGUCGCUCAACGAUUGCAGUGCCAUUGAUACUGGUAGACUUGAGUGGGAUUGAGGUAGCUGGAAUGGAUAGUGUAGCGGUGAAAUGCAUAGAUAUUAUCCAGAACACCAAUUGCGUAGGCAAGUUACUAAGUCUCAACUGACGCUGAGGCACGAAAGUGUGGGUAUCAAACAGGAUUAGAUACCCUGGUAGUCCACACUGUAAACGAUGAUAACUAACUGUUGGCUUUCGAGUCAGUGGUACAGAGAAAUCGUUAAGUUAUCCACCUGGGGAGUACGCCGGCAACGGUGAAACUCAAGGAAUUGACGGCNGAGAGAGCGAGACGACGACGAGGGAGGAGG
rnacentral:rRNA from 1 species